rnacentral:rRNA from 1 species
GACGAACGCUGGCGGCGUGCUUAACACAUGCAAGUCGAACGGAAAGGCCCUGCUUUUGUGGGGUGCUCGAGUGGCGAACGGGUGAGUAACACGUGAGUAACCUGCCCUUGACUUUGGGAUAACUUCAGGAAACUGGGGCUAAUACCGGAUAGGAGCUCCUGCUGCAUGGGGGGGGUUGGAAAGUUUCGGCGGUUGGGGAUGGACUCGCGGCUUAUCAGCUUGUUUGUGGGGUAGUGGCUUUCCAAGGCUUUGACGGGUAGCCGGCCUGAGAGGGUGACCGGCCACAUUGGGACUGCGGUACGGCCCAGACUCCUACGGGAGGCAGCAGUGGGGAAUAUUGCACAAUGGGCGGAAGCCUGAUGCAGCAACGCCGCGUGCGGGAUGACGGCCUUCGGGUUGUAAACCGCUUUCGCCUGUGACGAAGCGUGAGUGACGGUAAUGGGUAAAGAAGCACCGGCUAACUACGUG